rnacentral:rRNA from 1 species
GAUUUGCGGCGGCUACCAUGCAAGUCGAACGGUAACAGGAAGCAGCUUGCUGCUUCGCUGACGAGUGGCGGACGGGUGAGUAAUGUCUGGGAAACUGCCUGAUGGAGGGGGAUAACUACUGGAAACGGUAGCUAAUACCGCAUAACGUCGCAAGACCAAAGAGGGGGACCUUCGGGCCUCUUGCCAUCGGAUGUGCCCAGAUGGGAUUAGCUAGUAGGUGGGGUAACGGCUCACCUAGGCGACGAUCCCUAGCUGGUCUGAGAGGAUGACCAGCCACACUGGAACUGAGACACGGUCCAGACUCCUACGGGAGGCAGCAGUGGGGAAUAUUGCACAAUGGGCGCAAGCCUGAUGCACCCAUGCCGCGUGUAUGAAGAAGGCCUUCGGGUUGUAAAGUACUUUCAGCGGGGAGGAAGGCGAUGAGGUUAAUAACCUUGUCUAUUGACGUUCCCCGCAAAAAAAGCACCGGCUAACUCCGUGCCAGCAGCCGCGGUAAUACGGAGGGUGCAAGCGUUAAUCGGAAUUACUGGGCGUAAAGCGCACGCGGGCGGUCUGUCAAGUCGGAUGUGAAAUCCCCGGGCUCAACCUGGGAACUGCAUUCGAAACUGGCAGGCUAGAGUCUUGUAGAGGGGGGUAGAAUUCGAGGUGUAGCGGAGAAAUGCGUAGAGAUCUGGAGGAAUACCGGUGGCGAAGGCGGCCCCCUGGACAAAGACUGACGCUCAUGUGCGAAAGCGUGGGGAGCAAACAGGAUUAGAUACUCUGGUAGUCCACGCCAUAAACGAUGUCGACUUCGCAUGUGUGCCCAUUGAGCGUGCCUUCCAGAAGCUACGCGUGAGUCGACGACUGGGGAGCUACGCGCAGUGAACUCAAUGAUGGACGGGACGCGAUCGUGUACAUGGUUAUUCGAUGCACUGAAACACUUAU